rnacentral:rRNA from 1 species
UACGUAGGGUGCAAGCGUUAAUCGGAAUUACUGGGCGUAAAGCGUGCGCAGGCGGUUUUGUAAGUCUGAUGUGAAAUCCCCGGGCUCAACCUGGGAAUUGCAUUGGAGACUGCAAGGCUAGAGUGUGUCAGAGGGGGGUAGAAUUCCACGUGUAGCAGUGAAAUGCGUAGAUAUGUGGAGGAACACCGAUGGCGAAGGCAGCCCCCUGGGAUAACACUGACGCUCAUGCACGAAAGGCGUGGGGAGCAAACAGG